UCUAAUAUUUUCUCGUAGUGCGCAUCAAUACAAACUUGUGAUCGCAAACAUAACAAAAUUUAGAAUUAUAAUAAAGAUUCCACGGAAGUACAAAGUUUAAGCAUAGUAUGAUAAUUUUGUAUUACUAUGACUGAUUACCUUUUGCUGUCCGUUUACCUUUAUUUUUCAUUUCUAUUUUAAAUUUCUUUAUUUCUUUUGCUUUUCUUUUUGUCUCUCCUCCCUCCUGCAUCCUCUCUCCCUCUUCUCUUAGCGAGCCGCCGACUGCCGACGCAACGGCUCUGUCGUCCACGGGUCACCAAAGGCUGUCAAAUUACACAUCCAGAAUGCUCUUGCCGUCCUUUAUCCAAUCCCCAAGAAUUGGACCUCGACCCAAGAGGUAGAAAUGAUCCUCUUCUCGUGGUCUGUUCUCCAAUGUAAGUUCUUUUUCCAAAUUUUCAACUUUCAGUUUUGGGAUUGAUUCUUGAUUUCGAAUUUUAUUCGGUUUUCUGUAUGAAUGUCGGAGAUGAGACUUAUGGUAAUUGUUGUAUCUGUGAAGUUUAUGAAA